CUAAGAAUCUUCCGCAAUGGGGGAAACCCUGACGGAGCGACGCCGCGUGGACGAUGAAGGCCGUAAGGUUGUAAAGUCCUUUUGCAGGAGAAGAAUAAGGGAGGGAGUGGAAAGCCCUUCUGAUGACGUUAUCCUGCGAAUAAGCCCCGGCCAAUUACGUGCCAGCAGCCGCGGUAAUACGUAUGGGGCAAGCGUUGUUCGGAGUUAUUGGGCGUAAAGGGCGUGUAGGCGGCCCGACAAGUCUGGUGUGAAAUCGCAGGGCUCAACCCUGCGGGUGCGCUGGAAACUGUCGGGCUGGAGUCCCGGGGGGGAAGCUGGAAUUCCUGGUGUAGGAGUGAAAUCUGUAGAGAUCAGGAAGAACACCGGUGGCGAAGGCGAGCUUCUAUUCGAGGACUGACGCUGAGGCGCGAAAGCGUGGGGAGCAAACAGG
rnacentral:rRNA from 1 species